GGUCGCUAGCCGGGAACGGGAUGGAUAUUGGUUAGCGGGUGGUAUUUGAACAGAAAAGGCAACAAGAAAGGCUGUAUUUUGACUAUUCAAGACAAAUAAAUGCUGGUGAAGUAUGGACUAGGCCAUAAGUUUGUGCUGCUGGACAUAUUCCAAGAAUAUCAGACCCACCAGUAGGCCUAUACCUCCUGCAGAUGUGUGAUCUCAAUCGUGUACUGUCAUCUUUCAGGUUUUACAGGUUGUGUGCUGAUUGAACACUGCUGGUAGCAAAUUCUGCUGACAGAAGCAGAGGAACAAGGAUCAGUUGACUUCACUAGAGUGAUUCUUUCUGAACUGGGGAAUUUUUUGUCCUCAUAUUCCAAAUAACUUGAAAUAAUUAGAAGUUCCAAAUUUCUAAUUCCAGAUUCAACUCUUCCCUGUUUUUUUCAGAAACUGGAAGUAAAGAAAACGGAAAUAUUGACCUA